GCCAUGAUCUCCUGCUGCACUUGUUUUGCCGAUGGUCAUGUUACAUCUGUGACGCAGCCCGAUUUUGCUGUUGGCUCCUGUCUGUGCUUUAUGGAGUUGAGCUGAGGAAGGCACAAGCUUGAAUACGGUACGAUGGAGAUGAAGGAUUUUCUCUCUCAGUCUGCAGCCAAGCACCAGAUGUGUCUUCCUCUGGAAGCUGGUUUCACAUGGUGGCUUAGAUUUUCCCACUUUGUAUCUAGCACCAUUUGAAAUCAGUGUUCUAGGAGCAAGAAUUACAGCGUGGGAAGAGAGCAAGCAGCUGCUGAAUGCACCAAUGGCCUCUACUCCUUAAACCAGCACUUUUCCCACUGGCUAUUUUUUUGCCAGCCAUCCACUUUGUAACAUCAUCUGACUUCUAGACACUCAUACAAGCACUGUAUGCACCCUCUCAAGCUAGGGCCACCACAGAACAGCUGCCUUCCAAUGUAUUUCUACUUAAUAAACAAUGGAUAUGAGUUCAAGUUGUCCAGAGUAAAGUGAUCCAAAAGUUGCAUCAAAACCAAUGCAGUACUUCUUGCACCUUCACAGGCAGAGUGUGUUUUCUUUAUUAUACAGUCACUCAGAUCCUAACAUUUACUUAAAGCAAAUGUAUUUCCACUCUGUGCCUGGGGACUCUGUGGCCAUAGAACUUAUCAUUCCGUAGCUCCCUGAGACUUGCAAACACAGAACAACCUGAAGUCAGCAGUUAAACACAAAAGUGCCUUCAGCAAUCAUGCUGCUGUCAUGCUGGUACCCACAGAAUCUACUCGAAGUUUAUUACCGGUAACUUGUAGUACUGUUUCUGUAGUCUUCUAUCCCCUUGCAUCCAAACCACUAAAACGAAGCUAAACUAUUUCUUGUUCAACCUCACCAUUGUCAAACAUUCUACACAGAACAGACGAUCGCUGUGUGGAUGAAGCGUUUGAUCAGAGCACUGAAUAGUCAACUUUAAAGAACAUGUAGCUGCCAUCUACAAGAGGAUCCUUCUCUGAGCCAGGAAAAUGUCUCUUACACAGGCUGACCGAUUUCUCUUGGUGUUCAGAGUCUCAGUUUUUGUCUAGCACCAUUUGAAAUCGGUUAUGAUGUAGGGGGAAAAGCAACAGUAAUGGAAAACUUCAUUCCCCCGCCCCCCAAAGUCCUUAGAGACAAACACCACCAAAGGCACAGACUUCACUAACACGGUAUGCUUUUCUGUUCUCCGACCUGAAGUUACACCUGGCCAUCCUGCUCAGAAGGAGGACAGUCAGCAUCACGCUCAACUAGGAGGGAUGCUUCAAGAGAAAGUGAAGCAUCUGUUCAAACACCUCACUCAGAUUCUUCAACUCAAGCAAGCCAGGGCCCAUGUGUCAGCAGAGCCACCUAACCUUGACUGGUUAUAUUCCAUGUGCUAUUUGUUUGCCUUAACCUGUUAUUUACUCAGAUCUUUUUUUCCUUUGAAAUAAAAUUGUGUCCUACUUGGUAUCAAGCUCUGUCUCAGGCAGACAGAUGACAUGUUCCCUGCAGGACAAUA